UACGGAGGGUGCGAGCGUUGUCCGGAAUCACUGGGCGUAAAGGGCGCGUAGGCGGCUCAUGAAGGCUGUGGUGAAAGUCCGGGGCUCAACCUCGGAUCGGCCGUGGCGACUCGUGGGCUGGAGCACUGUAGAGGCGGGUGGAAUUCCGGGUGUAGCGGUGGAAUGCGUAGAGAUCCGGAAGAACACCAGUGGCGAAGGCGGCCUGCUGGGCUAUGGCUGACACUGAGGCGCGACAGCGUGGGGAGCAAACAGG
rnacentral:rRNA from 1 species